rnacentral:tRNA from 2 species
GCCUCCGUAGCUCAGGGGAUAGAGCACCGCUCUCCUAAAGCGGGUGCCGCAGGUUCGAAUCCUGCCGGAGGCGCCA